UCCGCGCGUCUUUUCGUUUUGCUGCCGCUGCUGCUUCCGCCACCGCCACCGCCACUGCCACCGCCACCGCCACCCGCGCCCCCGCUCUGGUGUGUGGUGCAGCCGGGACCCAAGACCAUGUCGCUGUCACGCUCAGAGGAGAUGCACCGGCUCACGGAAAAUGUCUACAAGACCAUCAUGGAGCAGUUCAACCCUAGUCUCCGAAAUUUCAUCGCCAUGGGGAAGAACUACGAGAAAGCCCUGGCAGGUGUGACCUUCGCUGCCAAAGGCUAUUUUGAUGCCCUUGUAAAGAUGGGGGAGCUGGCCAGCGAGAGCCAGGGCUCCAAGGAACUCGGGGAUGUCCUCUUCCAGAUGGCUGAGGUCCACCGGCAAAUUCAGAACCAGCUGGAAGAGAUGCUGAAGUCUUUUCACAAUGAGCUGCUCACUCAGCUGGAGCAGAAGGUGGAGCUGGACUCCAGGUACCUGAGUGCUGCGCUGAAGAAGUACCAGACAGAACAAAGGAGCAAAGGUGAUGCUCUGGACAAGUGUCAGGCUGAGCUGAAGAAACUCCGGAAGAAGAGCCAGGGGAGCAAGAACCCUCAGAAGUACUCGGACAAGGAGCUGCAGUACAUCGAUGCCAUCAGCAACAAGCAGGGUGAGCUGGAGAACUAUGUGUCUGAUGGCUACAAGACCGCACUCACAGAGGAGCGCAGGCGGUUCUGCUUCCUGGUAGAAAAGCAGUGUGCAGUGGCCAAGAACUCCGCCGCCUACCACUCUAAGGGCAAGGAGUUACUGGCCCAGAAGCUCCCUCUGUGGCAGCAAGCCUGUGCUGACCCCAACAAAGUUCCAGACCGCGCUGCGCAGCUGAUGCAGCAGAUGGCCAGCAGCAAUGGCUCCAUCCUGCCCAGCACCCUGUCAGCCUCUAAGUCCAACCUGCUCAUCUCAGACCCCAUUCCUGGGGCCAAGCCCCUGCCAGUGCCCCCUGAGCUGGCACCAUUUGUGGGGCGGAUGUCUGCUCAGGAGAAGGUACCUGUCAUGAAUGGCGUCGCAGGCCCGGACAGCGAGGACUACAACCCCUGGGCUGACCGAAAGGCUGCCCAGCCCAAAUCCCUGUCUCCCCCGCAGUCUCAGAGCAAGCUGAGCGACUCGUACUCCAAUACACUCCCUGUGCGCAAGAGCGUGACCCCAAAGAACAGCUAUGCCGCCACUGAGAACAAGACACUGCCACGUUCAAGCUCCAUGGCAGCCGGCUUGGAACGCAAUGGCCGCAUGCGGGUCAAGGCCAUUUUCUCCCAUGCGGCUGGUGACAAUAGCACCCUGCUGAGCUUCAAGGAAGGCGACCUUAUCACCCUGCUGGUGCCCGAGGCCCGUGAUGGCUGGCACUAUGGCGAGAGUGAGAAGACCAAAAUGCGGGGCUGGUUUCCUUUCUCCUACACCCGGGUCCUGGACAGUGACGGCAGUGACAGGUUACACAUGAGCCUGCAGCAGGGCAAAAGCAGCAGCACCGGCAACCUCCUGGACAAGGACGACCUGGCCAUCCCGCCCCCCGACUACGGCACGUCCUCUCGGGCCUUCCCCACACAGUCAGCUGGCACCUUCAAGCAGAGGCCCUACAGCGUGGCUGUGCCCGCCUUCUCCCAGGGUCUGGAUGACUAUGGAGCAAGGUCUGUGAGCAGCGGCAGUGGCACGCUGGUGUCCACAGUGUGAGGACGCUGACCCCAGGCAGCUGCUCUGAAGAGCUCCUCCCCCGCCUCCAUCGGUUUCCCUCCUCAGCUCUCGUUGGAAUCCCUUUGCCAAUGUCCAACUAAGACCAACAGUAACCAAUGACAGGUCAGCCCCCCUCCUCAGCUGAUGGCCACGUCUGCGUCACCUCUACCUUACAUAACAGUUACCACCUACGUGUUCCUGUCUGCAGAAGCCCAUCGCCUAGCUUUGUCCCACUUCAGUCUGGCCUGGGCUGGAUCCAGGCUGCUCCUGGGGAUAUGGAGGCCCUGAGAGGCCAAAGACCUGCUGGCCACAGGUCUCCCCAACAGAGGGGCUAGCUCUGUAAGGGCGGACGUCUCGGGUCCCAGCAGUGGAACACUGACUGCAGGGGAGAACUCUGCAGCUUGUAGCGGGAAGGGAGUCUACUCCAUGCUGCCUAUAGCUUACGUCUGGCCAAUAAACAGGUGCCCACCUGUGCCCAGUGUGGUCUGUCAGCCAAGGGGAGUGGGCAGGAGCAGGGUGGGGAGUGUCUGCACCUUUGCAUCAAAAAGUAAUAAAUCAGGGCUGGAGAGAUAGAUGGCUUAGCGGUUAAGGCUUGCCUAUGAAAGGACCCAGGUUCAAUUUUCCAGGUCCCAUGUUAGCCAGAUGCACAUCAUGGCACA